rnacentral:misc_RNA from 1 species
GAACGCAUCUUGCACUUUUCAGGUCUCCUGGAAAGUAUACUUGUUUGAGUAUCAUCAUCAACACACACUCCUCACUCUAGCUUAGCUAGUAGGGUGAGGGAACUGAGAUGCUAAGCCUAAAGUCAGUCUACAUCUUUAAAGCGAUACGCGCUAGCAUUGUGCUCGACUCGACUCGACCCGACACAAGCCUGCCAACCAAACGUGAGAUAAACAUCGCACAGAGUAGUCAGCAGGUGUAAGCAGUGCCACGCACAGAGACCACCCUGGUCUGGUCUGGUCUCAAAACCCCGCAAAGUGAUCUCAAAUCAAGCAAGACUACCCGCUGAACUUAA